rnacentral:rRNA from 1 species
UAGGGAAUCUUCGGCAAUGGACGAAAGUCUGACCGAGCAACGCCGCGUGAGUGAAGAAGGUUUUCGGAUCGUAAAACUCUGUUGUUAGAGAAGAACAAGGACGUUAGUAACUGAACGUCCCCUGACGGUAUCUAACCAGAAAGCCACGGCUAACUACGUGCCAGCAGCCGCGGUAAUACGUAGGUGGCAAGCGUUGUCCGGAUUUAUUGGGCGUAAAGCGAGCGCAGGCGGUUUCUUAAGUCUGAUGUGAAAGCCCCCGGCUCAACCGGGGAGGGUCAGUGGAAACUGGGAGACUUGAGUGCAGAAGAGGAGAGUGGAAUUCCAUGUGUAGCGGUGAAAUGCGUAGAUAUAUGGAGAAACACCAGUAGCGAAGGCGGCACUCUGGUCUGUAACUGACGCUGAGGCUCGAAAGCGUGGGGAGCAAACAGG